rnacentral:misc_RNA from 1 species
CCGGUUUACAACUCCCAAACCCCUGUGAACAUACCACUUGUUGCCUCGGCGGAUCAGCCCGCUCCCGGUAAAACGGGACGGCCCGCCAGAGGACCCCUAAACUCUGUUUCUAUAUGUAACUUCUGAGUAAAACCAUAAAUAAAUCA